rnacentral:rRNA from 1 species
AUUGAACGCUGGCGGCAUGCCUUACACAUGCAAGUCGAACGGCAGCGGGGGAGAAGCUUGCUUUUCCUGCCGGCGAGUGGCGAACGGGUGAGUAAUACAUCGGAACGUGCCCUGUAGUGGGGGAUAACUAGUCGAAAGAUUAGCUAAUACCGCAUACGACCUGAGGGUGAAAGUGGGGGACCGCAAGGCCUCAUGCUAUAGGAGCGGCCGAUGUCUGAUUAGCUAGUUGGUGGGGUAAAGGCCUACCAAGGCGACGAUCAGUAGCUGGUCUGAGGGGACGAUCAGACACAGUGGGACUGAGACACGGCCCAGGCUCCUACGGGAGGCAGCAGUGGGGAAUUUUGGACAAUGGGCGAAAGCCUGAUCCAGCAAUGCCGCGUAUGUGAAGAAGGCCUUCGGGUUGUAAAGCACUUUUGUCCGGAAAGAAAUGGCUCUGGUUAAUACCUGGGGUCGAUGACGGUACCGGAAGAAUAAGGACCGGCUAACUACGUGCCAGCCGCCGCCGUAACAC